rnacentral:lncRNA from 1 species
CUGAUGUGCGGUCUUUCAAAGAUUCUUAAAACUGACAGAACCUUACAUACUAGUCGGCUGAAACCACAAUAGUUUAUCAAAAGAUGAGCUAACAGUAGCAGCAGUAGCAAUAUUUGUAGUUUGUGUUCUCUAAUUUUGAUUCUGUAAUUUCUUACAUUGUCGCUUCGUAUGUUCUUGCUCAUGACAGUAAUAACAAACAAUAUUACUUAAAUCAUUAUACCGACUAUCCAUUGCUCUAUUUCCUCCCCUAUUAUUAUUUC